GGCACACCUAUCUUCCAGGCUCCCAGGCUACAUACACUGCUUUUCACUGCAAAUGCCUUGAUCUUUCUUCCUGGUAGAAAACAGGACAAGUCUCAGUCUUGCAAGCACACAGAUCAGUUUCACCUCCUGUUUCCUCCAGACAGACCUGACUGAGCUCAUUAAUCGACCCAUGAGGCCCUACAAAGGGGAAGGGAUGGGGGGUGAGGGGAAACCCUCACUUGAGACUGAAGGUCUUGCCCUAUGGUGCAUAAGUUGCUUGCCUCGUCAUCCAUGUGGGCCACGUCCCUGUGGUGGGACAGCUUGGAUUGGCACGAGUUUCUACCCACUGGGUUACGCAUCUGGGAAGCUUCUAAAAAAUACCAGUGCCUACAGCCCUAGCAUAGGUAUUUUUCAGAAGCUUUCCCGGGUGAACUGAAUGGAAGGUCAGGGUUGAGACGCUUCAAGUGUGGGCAGAGGAAACCAGAAAAGCAGGGUCAGGAAGAGGAAGUCCAUGGUACCAGGGGCAAAGAUGAGAAGCGGACUGGCUCCCUGCAGGGGGAGUCUCCUCUCCUGCUGUCUCCAAUAGGAACCACUCCUGGCUGGCUGGCUGGCACACCAGGGACAAGUAACUGCUCAGAGUUGCAGGCCUGCACUUCUCUCACCCCGUGCACACGUGCACACAGCACUACUUGCAAGGUCAGCAGCUCUCCGAAGCCCCUGCAAAAAGAGCAGUCAGGGCAAGAACCCCUCUGUAAAGGGGGAAGGCAGGAGCAGUUUCUGACUCCAGUUGAGGACAGUGCCAUUAACAAGGAUCUGUGGCCACAAGCACGUGGCCACAGGACCUCCCCCCCCCCCCCCCCCCCCCCCCCGACUAGACACAUCCUGAACAUCAUCUGGAGGCUGGGGCUCCUUAAAAACUCACUUGUCUUUAAGUUUGAGCCUGUCCUCUCUCACCAUUUCUGUUCUUUAGAAGGGAAAAACCAUCAUAAGCACUCUCUGGUUAUCCCACCAAAGUAGCUCACAGAACAGAGUAAGUUCCUGCCUCCUCACAUCUCAGUUAAAGAGAUCAAGCCCUGUCUCCGCUGGAGACUCCUCAUUGGGUCUUCCUCUGAUGAUCCCCAGGGGACUCCUGUCCAGGAGUCAGGCAGGGGUUCUGUUUCCUGCCCGGAGGCCACUGCAAGUGCCCCCGGGAAGCUCAGCCACUCACAGCGGGCUGCCACUGCCCACUCUGCCCACAGUUGUGUCCCAGAAAGCCCCUGCCCGAGUCUGCACUCACCCCGGGCUUCAGCUGCAUGGCAUUCAGGCUGUCACGCCGGGCUGCUCUUGCUUUACUCAACACAAAGCUGUUUUCCCAAGACUUCAGCUGGCCUCCAGAAGGACCAAGUCGGGAACAGGCCCUGGUGUCCACCUGGGACCAGAAUCACUGGCCGGCCUUGGUGUGUGUCUGCCCCAGCGUAAUUCUAGAAACCUCACAGUUCUGUCACACAGAAGCCAGGCCUGUGGACACAGCAGCGUGGGAGACGGAGAGAGGAACUUUCCUGAAGCAGGCUGAGGGGAACGGCCUUGCUCAUCCAUCCAAGCUUAAGAUCUGGCUUGCCCACUGAAUAAAUCAGAUGUGAAACGUUUCUAGUUUUUCUGGCUCCCCCACAAAAUAAAGUCAGCAGAUGUGAAA